UACGGAAGGUGCGAGCGUUGUUCGGAUUGAUUGGGCGUAAAGCGCAUGUAGGCGGGUUUGUAAGUCGGAUGUGAAAUCCCCGGGCUUAACCUGGGAACUGCAUUUGUGACUGCAUCGCUGGAGUGCGGCAGAGGGGGAUGGAAUUCCGCGUGUAGCAGUGAAAUGCGUAGAUAUGCGGAGGAACACCGAUGGCGAAGGCAAUUCCCUGGGCCUGCACUGACGCUCAUGCACAAAGCGUGGGAGCAAACAGG
rnacentral:rRNA from 1 species